GUGCUCACUUCGACAGCACAUAGACUGACACUAGAAUGAGACACAGAAGAUUAGCAUGGCUGCUGCACAUGCAAUGCAUUGUUCCAUUAAAAAAAUCAUCAAAAUGUU